ACUAAUUCUAGCCCUAAAUUCUCUAAACAAAACUAUUUCUAAAGUAUUAAAUAAAACAUUCAAUUUCUAAAGUAUAGGAGAUAGAAAUUUUCUUCUUGGCGCUAUAGAAAAAGUACCGCAAGGGAAAGAUGAAAGAAUAUAUUAAUAGUAUAAAAUAGCAUAGAUUACCUCUAUUACCUUUUGCAUAAUGGGUUAACUAGAAAUAUAUUGACAAAGAGAACUUAGCCAAUUACCCCGAAGCCAAACGAGCUACUUCCGAACAGCUAGUAGAGCGAACUCGUCUAUGUAGCAAAAUAGUGAGAAGAUUUAGAAGUAGAGGUGAAAAACCAAUCGAGUUUGGAGAUAGCUGGUUAUCCAAAUAAGAAUUUUAGUUCAGCUAUAAGCUUUUCCUAAAACCCUAUAAUUCUAAUGAAAACUUAUAUGCUAAUUUAAAGAGGGACAGCUCUUUAAAAAAGGAAACAACCUUCAGCAGUGGAUAAGUUAAUUUAAAUAAACAUAGUUGGCUUAAAAGCAGCCAUCAAUUGAGAAAGCGUUCAAGCUCAAUAAUAAAUUUCACAACCUAAUUCCAAUAGAUUUUAACAACUCCCUGCUUUAACAAUUGGAUUAAUCUAUAAGUUUAUAGAAGAGAUAAUGUUAAUAUUAGUAACAAGAAUUAUUUCUCCUUGCACAAGCUUACAUCAAAUACAUAUUAACUAUUUGAUUAUUAACAAUUCAAUAAAAUAAAACAACUUAUUAGUUACUUAUUACAAAUAUUGUUAACCCAACGCAGGAGUGCAACAAGGAAAGACUAAAAGAAGCAAAAGGAACUCGGCAAACACAAAUCCCGCCUGUUUACCAAAAACAUCACCUCUAGCAUCACAAGUAUUAGAGGCACCGCCUGCCCAGUGACGAACAACGGUUCAACGGCCGCGGUAUCCUGACCGUGCAAAGGUAGCAUAAUCACUUGUUCUUUAAAUAAGGACCUGUAUGAAUGGCUAGACGAGGAUUCAACUGUCUCUUGCUUCCAGUCAGUGAAAUUGACCUUCCCGUGAAGAGGCGGGGCUAAACAAAUAAGACGAGAAGACCCUAUGGAGCUUUAAUUAAAUAACUCACUUUGCAUAAACCAAAUUCACCAGAAUAUAAAAAUUAAAUCCUGAGUUAUCAAUUUUGGUUGGGGUGACCUCGGAGAAAAACAAAACCUCCGAAUGAUAUUAGUUAAGACCCAACAAGUCAAAACUUUAUAUCACAAUUGACCCAAUUACAUUUGAACAACGAACCAAGUUACCCUAGGGAUAACAGCGCAAUCCUAUUUAAGAGUUCAUAUCGACAAUAGGGUUUACGACCUCGAUGUUGGAUCAGGACAUCCUAAUGGUGCAGCAGCUAUUAAUGGUUCGUUUGUUCAACGAUUAAAGUCCUACGUGAUCUGAGUUCAGACCGGAGUAAUCCAGGUCGGUUUCUAUCUAUUCUUAAAUUUCUCCCAGUACGAAAGGACAAGAGAAGUGGGGCCAAUUAAUCAAUAAUGCCCUAAUAAUUAAAAGAUGAUAUAAUAUAAAUCUACUUAUUAUUUAAUUUAAAUUACCCUAGACAAGGGAUU
rnacentral:rRNA from 1 species